rnacentral:rRNA from 1 species
AAACUAACAAGGAUUCCCCUAGUAACGGCGAGUGAAGAGGGAAGAGCCCAAGAUUGAAAGCUGGCGUCUUCGGCGUCCGCAUUGUAAUCUCAAGAAGUGUUUUCCGCUUCGGGACCAAGCCUAAGUCCCCUGGAAAGGGGCAUCAUAGAGGGUGAUAAUCCCGUACAUGGCUUGGAGCGCCCGUAGCUUUGUGAUACACUUUCUAAGAGUCGAGUUGUUUGGGAAUGCAGCUCAAAAUGGGUGGUAAAUGCCAUCUAAGGCUAAAUAUUGGGGAGAGACCGAUAGCGAACAAGUACAGUGAUGGAAAGAUGAAAAGAACUUUGAAAAGAGAGUUAAACAGUACGUGAAAUUGCCAAAAGGGAAGGGUAGGAGGUCAGAGAUGCGGCCUAGGAUUCAGCCUUGCUUUUGCUUGGUGUUUUUCCUAGAUUGCAGGCCAACGUCGGUUUUGGGCACUGGAGAAGGGUGGAAGGAACGUGGCACCUCUCGGGGUGUGUUAUAGCCUUCCACUGGAUACAGCGACCGAGACCGAGGACAGCAGCGUACUCGCAAGAGCGGGCCUUCGGGCACCUUUACGCUUAGGGCGUUGGCAUAAUGGCCCUCUACCAC